AAGACGUUUUUGAAAAGAAAAAUAGAUUGAACAAUAAAUCGAAAAAGUUUUUCCAUUUAUUAUUCAAUUCACUAAUAUUAUUUCUGAUAAAUCAAAACUAAUUACAAUAGAAAGUCGUUUAAAUUAAAGUUUUACGUCUUCUAGAAAAUCUUGAAGAAUGCUAAAAACUAACCUAUGAAGUUGUUUUAUAGAUAAACAUUGAUGUUGUUGAUAUUGAUUUAAAGUUGGGCCGUCACACACAACGGAUUUUAAAAAAUGUUUAUUAUUUUUUAUGUUAAUAAUACAUUAAUUUUUAAAUA